ensembl:lncRNA
GAAAGAGGAAAAGACCGCUGUAUAAUCUAUCAGUUUCAACAACGUAACUGUAUUCUGAAUACCACCUUUUUAAAUGGUAAGUGUAAAUACGUAACGCCGGUACAUGUAUUCCGUUACUCCCCAACACUGCCCGUGUCUAUUUGUUGUACUAAACUGAAUUUUUAAAUGCUGUAAACAAAAAAGAAAAAAGAAGAAGUACUCACCUUUGAGUUAAAUUUGCAAAAAUUGCAAAAAUUAUGACAGACCCAGAAUAAGUUUUCCCGUUUUAUUUCAAAGUCAUGCCACAAGUUGACAUUAAAUACAAAAGAAAAAAUAAUAAUUUCAGAUCUUAGCUAUAAAAUAACCACAGUGUAACCGAGAACCAAAUUAAAACGAACAAGUGUUAAAAAAAACAGAACAAAAAGUAAAGCUCACGCUGAAAAAGAAGACACAGACAAGCACACAGUACAGAACAUACAGCACGGCUCUCUGAUACCUAGCUAUCAGUAAACACGGUAGUUGGGAGUGGAUAUAUAAAAUUAACAAGGUUAUAAAAUACUGAUAAAAGAUACUUGUUAUAAAGACCAUAGCAUUUUCUAGAAGAGUCACCAUGCAGUAGGUAUUCCAGUCUCCAGUUAAUAAACAGCAGAAAAAUACAAGAAUCACAAGCUCAUUCCUUGAGUGGACAAGACUUCGAGCUCAGAUUAAAAAUGUCAGAGUGUCAAAUUCGGUACGGCCUACAUGAUGCUGUCGUUAGGAUGAACGUGAUAUCUGGUGCAGCCGCUUCUCGACUCCAAUUUAGACUCAUGCAGCAAGCUGACGAGGCUGUAAGAUCAGCACGCAAGCAGUCGUUCUGUCUAGAAAUGAUAAGCGCUCUAAAUCCAACAUGUUUUCACUUGAUUCCUACUUCCAUUGAACCUUGUGUGCAUCAUGACUGCAGGUGUCUUCGCUCUUCUUAAAGAUUUGGGAGCCUUAACUGCUUAUUCAUACCAGAGAAGAAGAGAAGGAUGACUUAAGAGAUGAGGCUCACUCAGGCUCUUUUGUGCUGAACCAUCAGCAGUCCUGACCUCUCAUCUUCAUUUUCCCUCUCUCCGCCUUGCAUCUAUGCUCUCCUAAACCUUCUUUAUCUCUGGAUUGUUCCCUUUCUGCAUGUAUGAAAGGUGUGCUUGAUCAUUGUGUAGUCCUUUCAAUUUCACAAAACACCUGCAAACUGCUUGAAGUCCCCAAUCAAUCUAUGUCAUAAGUUUCUUAUGCCCCUAUUAGAGGCAGGUGACUGGCACUUGGACAAUGACACAGAUUUUGUAAUUUUGUUUCUCUACACCACCUCAGUGAAUUUCUACAUCAAAUAAUCAAGAUGUGACUAAAGUACAGACUUUACUAAAAGGGCUGUAUUAACUGUUCAGGACAUUUUUAUACAUAGUUCCUCAUUUCAGAGGCUCAAAAGUAAUAGAACAGUUGAUUGAUGAGCUGUUCUGUGGUUUUUCAUGACAAAUCAAGCAGAUAAAACAUCCUAAGAACCUCCAAACUUAGGAUUCAAUCAGACCCACAUUUUUUUGUCACUACUUCUUUUUUUUAACCUAUCAAAACAUGACUUCAGAAACCAGUGGGUGAUCAUCACAUCACAGAAGCUACAUUCAUAUUUUUUAAUCCUAAACGUGUUGGUAAAACUACUGUGCAGUGGGCAUGUCUGACUUCCAGAAGAAUCGAGGCCCUGUAGUUUAUUGAUGAUGGGACUGCUGAUAGAAGUAGCAGGAUGAUAUAGUCUCUGCACGAAUGGAUAAUGGCUCAAAGCAAACCCCAAGAGUAAGAAAAGUUUCUGAAAUAAUGCAAUUCUGUUGUUAAAACUCUUGAACUAAAGCUUAAAGUCUGCACUUCAAUCACACCUUGUUUGCUUGAUUUUAAAUCCACUUUGGUGGUGUACAGAAGUAAAGAAACAAGAUCCGAAUACUUAUGGAUCUAACUGUAACUCACACAAGGCAUUAUGGGAGAAGGAAUAAGGGAAACAAUCGGAUUCCUUUACACAUUCUAGCUGAUCACUAGAGGUUGUGAACACAAAGUGCAUUCACUUGAAAUGAGUGUCUAGGAUAUAAGCAUCCACCAGAAAGAUGGAUCUCAUGAUAAAAACUAAUAAGUCAAGUUCCUGCUACUUUUAUAUACAUACUGUAUACUGCUGGAUACUAAAUACAAAAUAUUAGAAAACUGGUUACUGUUUCCAUGCAUGCAAGUGUGCAACACAAGCCUUUUACUUCACACAGUAUGUUUAUCAAAGUAGCAAGUGGGUUUUUACGGCACUCUGAGAACUGAAAAUGAACACUCUGUGAUUCGUGGUGGCGCGAGCAGAUCUGAAGUGUUUUUGCUACAUGCACUGGCAUUUUUGGAUUCGUACAAAAGUCGCCGCCGCUGUGACUAAUUCGGCUUCAUUCAAACAGUUUCUUCAAACCUGCUUUGGCGUGGCCAUGCAGAAAAUCUACACAGAAGACUGAUACGCUUUACAGCAACUGUCAAAAAAAAGGUCCAGACACUCCAACAAAGCCUGGUCCGUGUAAGUGUGUGCUUGUGUUUGUGUGUGCGUGUGUCUGUGUGGUGGUUAACAGUGAAAGCCAUUAAACACUUUUGGCAAAAGGAUUACAAUGUGCAACAAUUACAAUGAUCGACACGGUGACAAAAGGCAGAAACAAAACUGAGCAUGUAGUGAGGAACAAAAGCAUUUGUCCAACUCAAACACUCCAUCACCCACAAUGCAUCUCUUCAAAAUAAAACACCUUUUUUUUUGGCACAUGAGUUGGGGCUCGGACUCCGUACUCUUAUGAUUGCUAAAUCUAGUGCCUAAAUACUCACAUGUGUCGCAGCUGUCAACUUCAGUGUUAGCCGUUAUAUUUCUGCGUCACUUCUGUAUGAAUAAAGAAACAGCCGGAGCCGCGAACCAUUGAUUGGAAACCUCAUAGUACAGAACUGGCAUCACCUGAAGGGACACUCAGAGGGAAAUAAAAUCCAGGUUGGCUGAUGGGAAGCUUGUACUUCUGAAUAAAAAUAAUGUCCUGUUCAGUCCCUGUCAGAGUUGAUGAAAAAUAAUCUCCCUUCACUUAUCUGCUGUUAUACUCAACAACAAAAAAAUAAGGGCCAUAUCUAUCCAUCCAUUUUUCCUAACUGAUUAUCCGAAUCCCAGCUCUCACUAGGUGAGAAGCGAGGCACACUCUGGACAGAUGGCAGGUCCAUCGCAGGGUUAACAGAGACUGACUGCCACUCACGCCAUUCAUGAAUGCUAACAGACAGGGUGAAAAUUAGCAUCCCCCAGUCUCAGGCCAUGAUGGAAAAGGGCGGAGUACUACUCCAGGAAGUGGUGGAGCUUAAGUAUCUUGUGGUCCUAUUCACAAGUUGGAGAAAAGCAGAGCAGUCUGUCGCAGUAAAGACAGACCUGAGGGUAUUCAUUUACUGAUCGAUUUGUGUUUCUACCCUCGCCUAUGUAUACAAGUGGUAGGAAUGAACUUCCUCUGAAAAGUGCCAGGAAUCUACAGACACGCUGAGGAGCUCAGGCAUUUUUAGGAAUUAGACAUAAGAGUAGGAGAGAAUCUGGUUUGGUCAUUUCUUGUCUUGCAAACACAUCCACAGUCAUCCAUUUCCCAUUUAACAUACACAUUUGUGCAAGAAAUGCCAAAGAAAUAGGAAUCAUAGAUAAGGAACACUGCUGGGCAACAAGCAAUGCAUUUCGUGUAACCUGCAGUAAACAGACUGAUGAUUGGAGAGGGGGAGGGGGACCAUAUGGGCUAAUUGAGUCCCAUGUGAUUUGUCUGUAAGCAACCUCAUUGGUUAAAACACCAAAACUACAGCCCGUCACAGCGACAUGUUUACCAGGAAGAGGGUAUUUGUCUGAUUCCAGCUUAUAUCUUUGUAUCUUAUAUCUUUCAUAUCUGACAACUACAUUUCACUCAUAGAGAAGAGGCUGUGUUUUCUGAAAAAUAAAUCCCAAGCAAAAAAUUUAAGACCCAGAACACUGACAUUUGAGGUUGCAAAAGCAUUUCCAGAAUCCUCACAUCUCGAACCAUUUCAACAAAAGAUUUUUAGUCUCCUGCACAGUAAAAGAACAAUAAAAAAUUACUUUCAAGCUAUUUUCUUUCGUGAAGCCUUGCCAAUUUUGUUACUCAGCAUCAGCAUAGUUUCUUAUGAAGUCUGGUUAAUUUUGCAUUUAUUUAAGAAGGAUGCAGGUCAUUUACAUAGGCUGUAUAUAAAGAUAGAAAUGGACACGGUUUAGUUUGUAGAUUCAGCAUUUUUGAAGCCUUCACAUCAGAGUUUUGGCCACGACUAUGGUAUUUUAUUGGAGCCAGAAUUUAGAAAAGACGAUGGAGGGGAGCUUUUGGAUAACCCAUUAAAAUGCAUCAAAAGGCACCAAGAGCAAAAACAAGGUCGGGUGAUUUAGUUUGGUGGCGGUGAAGUCAGACAGCUGCUGACUACAGCUGUUGUCUGCAAACAAAGCGACCACAUCCCUAAAUUUUAAGCAUUACCAAAUCCAAACAGGUGAGUUGAACAUUCACCUCGCAUUCAUUCGAUAUGAAGACAGAAAUCGUGUUCUGGACUAUACACACUUUCUUUUUUAACUCUGUAAACCUGGGCAUUUUUAACAGAGCACAAUGACUCGUUUUGGAGCCCCAAGUGGCCGAUAUAUGAAAUGCAGUUUUUGCCUUAAUGCUUUUUUUCUAAUUUACAUCUGCAACUUAAAGGUUGAAAAUUUUUAUCGUGUGGGAAAAACAAUAUUUGGUGGUUAGAAAAUACUUUAAGGAUUCAGAAAAUACCCAAAAGAUCAAAAGAUACUUCUUUUUCAGGAAAAAUAAAAGCUCUGUAUCACAACACCCGUGCACACAUUUGGCACUGAUAAUCUUCCGCAAUAAAUUCAUUUAUCUGAGCUGUCUGAUUUUUUUUAGCACAUAGACAAAAAUGAUCUUUACACUGUUUUGGACAAAGAGAAACUCAUUUUAACCAAACUAAAUUAACCACAGCUGGGACUUCACUGCCUUGCAGUAGGCCACUCUGUGUGAGGGAGGGGGAAAGCCUUCUUUGUUUACCCAAACACCUCUUUUUCACAGUAGGUGUUGGUUAGGAGGGAACUCUGCAUCGAUACCACUGAAGAGCCUGCCUUUAUUUAAACAAGUUCAGGAGCCAAACAUAAAGUGGUGAAAGCUGGAGUAACCUCUGCUCUUCCCAUAGUCACAGGUUCCAACUUCAGGAUCAAUUUUAUGUUGCAGAGCUUGCCUGUUUUCAGAGAAGUGCAUGGAACUGAUUGGCAGAAUAAAGAGGAAAUACUCUGCAAAUAAAAACCGGCAGGCUGUCUAAUCUCACACUGCUCUGCACUUACAGUCACCAACACUGGCUGUUUGCACUGUUAACACGCUUCAGAUUCAGUCUCAUGUUACAUGACGUUCACUUUCUCUCUGAGUGAAACCAACAAAAAGACCACAAAGAAGAAGAUAAAUAGCACCUAAAUAGUUGUUGACAACUGCUGCUAAUGUUCACAGAUGCUAGAGGCAUUAUGAAUGCAUCACUGUAGUACAAGACACAACUGCUUCAAACAGACUGACAUGAUCAGACUGACAUGAGGUGCAUUUAAGUGUAGACAUGCUCACUGCUCAAAACUAGCAUUUCCAAGACUUCUGAGAUAGAAAGAAUAAAUAUAUAGAGUAACAAUUGAACAGUACAAUACAAGGCUGUGGAUAUCUUGGAAAAAUAACCCAUGCAAGACACAUUUAUAAAGAUGCUGUACACAAACAUGUGUGACCACUUAAAUGCCAUGAGUGACAGUUCAAGUCAUGGAAAAGGGCACUGAAAAAAAAGGGGGUGGGGCUUGAUAUUUUGUCUGAGAGAUUAGUCCACUAAUGGUUUACAUUCAAAGGAAAGGUCUUAAAAAUAACCAUAAGUUACAUUUUUCAAAUUUUAAGGGGAAAAACAUAAUAACCAAAAGUUUAUAAAACUUGGAUUGCACUUUUGAAGAGAAACAAAAAACACAGGCUGUUAUUUUCUGUCACAAGAAGCCGACUGGAUGGUAAAAGGUCGGAUCGGAUGGCCACAUGAUCUACGCGAGAAAUGUCAUCAGAGAAAAGAUUAAACUGUACCAGUGUUGGUUCAAUAUUCAAAACCAUCUGAAUUCAACAGUUCGUCCGAGUUGUUUUCCUGCUGUGGAGGCAAAGCCAGGAACAAGGCGAUGGCACAGGUUGUUUGGCAGGACGUCUCCUCUGCUAAAGCACUCCUUUCUCUCUCCGUAGUCUCCGAGGGUUUUUCUUUUUACCCCUCAAAGCUAAAGAAAUAAAGUGCAAGGUGUGUUUUUUCCCUUCAAAAAAGGUCCCUUUUACUAUUCGGUUCACACCUUUCCUUUGUGAUCUUUUUCUUUCAGGUAUAACAUGACAUUCACUCAAACACACACACACACACACACACAGUCUCACACACUCACGCUUGCAGAGCUGCUGUCUUUCGGGAUCACGUGGCGUGAGUCUUUGGCCCGGGCCGACAGACUCAAGUCAGAGGAAGCGUCAGGCAGUGGUGUUGCCGUUAAGAGAUGAUGUGGCACAGGGGGUGGCGGUUUGUCGCUAGGCUUGGGCCGGGCCGGGCCAGGCUAGGCCGGUUUGAAAAGGGGGC